rnacentral:misc_RNA from 1 species
AACGCACGAGACCUGCGGACCUGCGGAGGGAUCAUUAACACUUCUUUUAUUAAAACUUUUUCCUCUUUUUCUCCUUAAAAAAGAGUUUAAGAGGAAAAAACACCCUUAGUGUGAACUUGUUGAAGUAUUUAACAAUGUGUUAUUACAUAAUAACACACUUGUUAAUUUAUUUUAAACACCUUUCAAUAAAACCUUUUUUAAACCUUUAAAGUCUAAAAAAGCGAUAAAGAAGGAGUAAGC